AGUGAACGCUGGCGGUAGGCCUAACACAUGCAAGUCGAACGGCAGCACAGUAAGAGCUUGCUCUUACGGGUGGCGAGUGGCGGACGGGUGCGGAAUACAUCGGAAUCUACUUUUUCGUGGGGGAUAACGUAGGGAAACUUACGCUAAUACCGCAUACGACCUACGGUUGAAAGCAGGGGAUCUUCGGACCUUGCGCGAUUGAAUGAGCCGAUGUCGGAUUAGCUAGUUGGCGGGGUAAAGGCCCACCAAGGCGACGAUCCGUAGCUGGUCUGAGAGGAUGAUCAGCCACACUGGAACUGAGACACGGUCCAGACUCCUACGGGAGGCAGCAGUGGGGAAUAUUGGACAAUGGGCGCAAGCCUGAUCCAGCCAUACCGCGUGGGUGAAGAAGGCCUUCGGGUUGUAAAGCCCUUUUGUUGGGAAAGAAAAGCAGCAGGUUAAUACCCCGCUGUUCUGACGGUACCCAAAGAAUAAGCACCGGCUAACUUCGUG
rnacentral:rRNA from 1 species